AGGCCCGAAGGGGCUUGAGGGGGCGGUGGCCUGAGGGCCCCAGGGCCGGCGCCGCCCGCGCUAAGGCAACGCUGCGGGGGCCGAAGAGACCCAAGUCUGAGUUAAACAAGAAAGCAAAAUGUCUUCAACACUGUCUGAAUACACAAUAGGUGGGGUGAAGAUUCAUUUCCCCUGUAAGGCCUACCCAUCACAACUGGCCAUGAUGAAUUCAAUUGUUAGAGGAUUAAAUGGUAGACAACACUGUUUAUUGGAGAGCCCCACAGGAAGCGGAAAAAGCUUAGCCUUACUUUGUUCUGCAUUGGCGUGGCAGCAGUCUCUGAGUGAGAAGCCAGUGAAUGAAGGCUUUGGAAAAAAACCCGAAUCACCAUUGCCAUGCAGCUGUGCCUGCCACUCAGGGAAUAUUACUCCAGAUACCAGCAUAAAUCAAGGUGCCUCGUGCUCGUUAAUCAAUUCUUCUAAGCCAGCUUCUCCGAAAAAGGAAACCUCCUCACCUCUCCCAGAAAAUGGCCCCAGGAAAACCACAUUGGCUGCCAAACUAUCUGCAAAGAAGCAAGCGUCUUCAAUUAAAGAUGAAAACGACGAUUUUCAGGCAGAGAGGAAAAGGAUUCGUCCCUUAGAAACCGAGCAGCAGGUCAGAAAACGUCAUUGUUUGGCCAAGGGAGUUCAAUGUUUUGACACCAAAGUUCACCAAGAGAAGAACGUAAAGCCCAACUCGCCGAUGGAAAAAAAAAGCCUUUUCUCUCCAAAAGUAACUUCUGGCCCUUGUACUAGAUGUGCCUGUUCAAUUAAAAAAGAAAAGAGCAAGGAUGGUCCUGGUACACCGAAGAAAGAACAUGGAGGAAAAUCCAGGAUACCCAAAAUAUUUUUUGGAACUCGCACACACAAACAGAUAGCUCAGAUUACUAGGGAGCUACGGAGAACUGCGUACUCCGGGGUCCGGAUGACCAUUCUUUCUAGCCGGGAUCAUACUUGUAUACAUCCUGAAGUAGUCGGUAAUUUCCACAGAAAUGAAAAGUGUAUGGAGUUGAUGGAUGGGAAAAAUGGCAGAUCCUGUCAUUACUACCACGGGGUGCAUAAGAUUUGUGAACAGCAUGCUCUACAGACUGUCCGAGGAAUGUGCAGAGCUUGGGAUAUAGAAGAACUCGUGAGCCUGGGGAAAAAAUUGCGUUCCUGCCCUUAUUAUGCAGCUCGAGAACUUAUGCUAGAUGCCGACAUUGUGUUUUGCCCAUACAACUAUCUCCUAGAUUCACAAAUAAGAGAAACUAUGGCUAUCAGUCUGAAGGAGCAGGUCGUCAUUUUAGACGAGGCUCAUAAUAUUGAAGACUGUGCCCGGGAAUCAGCCAGUUACAGUGUUACAGAAACUCAACUGAGGUUUGCUCGAGAUGAACUGGAUAGCAUGAUAAACCACAAUAUAAGGAAAAAAGACCAUGAACCAUUGCGAGCUGUUUGCUACAGCCUCAUCAAUUGGCUACAAGAAAAUUCCGAACAUCUCGUGGAAAGAGACUAUGAAAAGGCUUGUAAAGUCUGGAGUGGAAAGGAAAUGCUCUCUCACUUGCAUAAAAUGGGGAUAACAACGGUUACAUUUCCUAUUUUACAGAAACAUUUUGCAGCUGUCCUUGAAAAAGAAGAAAAAGUACCACAACUUCAUGGCAAAGAGCAGGUGAGGGAAAUACCUAUUGUGAGUCCUCCAACCCAGAUUAUGCUCAAAGGACUGUUUAUGGUACUGGACUAUCUUUUUAGACAAAAUAACAGAUUUGCCGAUGACUACAAGGUUGCUCUACAGCAGUCGUAUUCUUGGACAAACCACGCUGAUACUCCAGAUAAAAACGGCUUCUUUGCUGCCCCUAAAAACAAGAGACAGCUACAGCGCAAAAUGGCAGUCCAUGUGCUAAAUUUUUGGUGCCUUAACCCAGCUGUGGCUUUUUCAGAUAUAAGUAGCCAAGUUCGGACAAUUGUUUUGACAUCCGGUACCCUGUCACCAAUGAAAUCCUUCUCGUCAGAACUUGGUGUAACUUUUGCUAUCCAAUUGGAAGCUAAUCAUGUCAUUCAUAACUCCCAGGUUUGGGUUGGCACCAUAGGAUCAGGACCCAAAGGUCGAAAUCUGUGUGCCACCUUCCAACACACGGAGACAUUUGAGUUCCAAGAUGAAGUGGGAGCACUCCUGUUAUCAGUGUGUCAAACUGUGAGCCAAGGGAUUUUGUGCUUUUUGCCAUCUUACAAGUUGUUGGACAAAUUAAAAGAACGUUGGCUACACACUGGUUUAUGGCAAAAUUUGGAGUUGGUUAAGACCGUCAUUGCAGAACCUCAAGGAGGAGAAAAAACUGACUUUGAUGAAUUGCUGCAGGUAUAUUAUGAUGCAAUCAAGUUCAAAGGAGAGAAAGAUGGAGCCCUCCUUGUAGCAGUUUGCCGGGGAAAAGUGAGCGAAGGUCUGGACUUCUCAGAUGAUAAUGCCCGGGCAGUCAUAACUAUAGGAAUCCCAUUUCCAAAUGUGAAAGACCUUCAGGUCGAACUGAAGAGAAAAUAUAACGACGAGCACUCAAGAGAAAGAGGCCUGCUGCCCGGGCGCCAGUGGUAUGAGAUUCAAGCUUACAGGGCCCUGAACCAGGCUCUUGGCAGGUGUAUUCGCCACAAAAAUGAUUGGGGAGCUCUUAUUUUAGUUGAUGACCGUUUCAGGAGCAAUCCUAAUCGAUAUAUAUCUGGUUUGUCCAAAUGGGUUCGGCAACAAGUGCAGCAUCAUGCAAGCUUUGGAACUGCACUGCGGUCCUUGGUUGCGUUCUCCAAAAAGCAUCGAAAAGUCAUUGAUAUCUCAGGCCAGGGUGAAAGCGAGACCCUCUGUGAAGUGACCUGUGCGAAGGACAGGGGACCAACCUCUUUACUGGAGACAGCAAUUCACCUGUCACUAGAUAUUACUGAAGAAGAUGAAAGGACAAGUUCUGAUCAAGAACUUUAUUCUUCUAAAACAGUAACAGAGAACACCAUUCUACCUCAUCACUCAAGAAGCAUCAUCACAUUAAAGAAGGAAGAUGAUCCAAUACUGGUGGAAGAUAUUUACCAGGAAAUGGAAAGUGACAAAUUCCUUGUUUCAAGACCUCCGAGUCCAACCUUCAGAAAACAGCCUAAAAGAAACGAUUGGUCUGAGUUUGACUCCGGUAAACUGUGUUUUCCCAAUAAAUCAGUGACAUCAACACCUGUGCCGGGGUUUACAGAGAAAUGUGCCUAUAGGACUGUUACUUCCAAAAAAGAGAAGAGGGAAAAUGAAAUCAGUCUACCUGUCACUAGUGAAGAACAAUCCUCAUCUCUGUCAAGAAGUUCACUAUUUGGACCAGAACCACAGUCAAAAAGUAUUACUUCAUCAGUAAAAAAGACCGAUGCUGCAGUUGCCGAGAGACAUCCUGCUGAACAACUACUCUGCUCUAAUGAAGCCAUGGAUCAAGACAUCGAUCUGUCUCCAGUAAGAGCAGCUGAAGUUUCCACGUUAAAUGUAACUUCAGGCACAGCGGCAGAAGAUGAAUCCAUCUACUUCACGCCUGAGCUUUAUGAUGAUGAAGAAUCAGAUGAAGAGAAAAAUGAAGUGCCACUUGGAACUAGUGGGGGAAAUGAAUGGAGGGAGAAUCAGGAUGGCAUUUUAGCUAAGGAAUGUUUUGAAGUGGAUGUUCCCAAAUUAGGGAGCUCAAGCAGAAAAAUGAAAAGUAAUGAUUACACAGGCACAAAAGAGACAAGAGUCAUGCAUGGUGAAGAAUGCAAAAACGAUUAAAUUCUUAAUAAUGAAAAAUUCUGUAGUGUAGUUGUCAAGAAAGAGCUCCAUGAAAUGGACAUCCAGAAAUCUAAGUUUUCUUGUUCAAAAGACAAAGUUGGCUAGUGAGUGUGUCACAUUCAACAGGAAGAAUGUGUCAGAAGAUGAAGACUCGGGAUUCCAAACUACUCAGUGAUGAGGGAGGCAAUCUAUGGAGAUUGUCAUGAAGAACCAGAAGCAAACAUCUGAGUUUCCAUCUUUACAACAUGUUUCAAGCCCUCACACUAGCCUCAUCAGCUCCUUAGAAUUCUGUUUAACCACCUUGGGGGGACGAAGGUUUCUCUGAUUUUGUACUUUCCUGAAGUUUAGACAUUUCCAAACUGCUAAUAGGAAACUUAUUCUUACGACUAAUAAACUUUUCAGUAGUAUCUUGCCUGCUAAAAUGUCCUGGUGUUUUAUAAUCCUGAUAAUAAAGAUCUAAUAUUUA